AUACUAAGGGUCUCUCUGAUGU
rnacentral:miRNA from 1 species